rnacentral:lncRNA from 1 species
UCGGUUAAUGGGUUUAUGUUCAGAGUUCGUAUUAAGUUGUGGUAACUCUUAUGCUUGCGCAGAUCGAUUGAUUCUUUGUUGUCUGUGUUGCAUUAUGCUCUUUAAUUCUUUGUCGUGUUUGAUUGUUGAUUGUGAUUGUCCAUCCACUAUGUAGCUUCGCCAUUUGAACGAGACAUCAGUAAGAUAUGCGCCCAAAGUGAUCAUGCCACUGCAAAUUUUCCUUGUCCUCUUCGUGGCUGUUUGUCGUCAUACACGAUAAGUUUAUGCCUUGUAUUUGGUUGCAGUAUAUGUUUCUCUUGCACUAUGAUCUGCAUUGGCAUCUCUAUAAGGCUGCGCUGAGGACGAGAGUAGCUCAACUGAACUGGCAUUUACUGAUAUAAGACACACUACCUUCUUAACGAAAAACAACUUUGAAAUGCCACUAGGAAACUGAUAGGAAUUCAAGCAUUUCCCUGUCUUAUAAACUUCAAGGUAUUUAGAUGCGUAUCUUGUGCAACUGGGUGCCACUUGAAAGUUGAAACAGCGUCGAACUAAGAUCUUCAGAUUUUGAAAAUCUUAGGCAUUAUUUGUUAUGAUUAUUCCAUGCCCCUUGUUGUCCCUGUACAUAUGCAUGUGUCAUCAUCUGGGGCAUAUCUUGAGGUACUAAAGCUUGAAAGAAGAUGAGAAACAUGGCAAAAGGGAUAGAGCUUGAUUUAAGUCUGUUUGGAAGCUUUAAUAGUAGGAGUGCCGUUAGUCUUGGAUGACCUUCUACAUCAAGAACUCAAGAGUGGCCUUGGAUGCCUUUAUAAAUUGCAAUGAUAGUAGUGAUAAGUUGCAUUCGGAUUCACUUCUCCUUCAAGUAUAUGAGCUACCUAAGGUGCAUAUGAAGAAUGAUUAGUUUUCGUGGAAGAAUGUGUUUUGGGUACUUUAGGCAAGUAGUGAGAAUCAUUUGCUGUUGUCUUCCACGUAUAAAAAAUUCUGCAGUUCGAGUAAAGCUAAAUGAUAUCAUGCGCUAUUAGAUGCAGCAACUCUUCAAGGGAAACCUGUUUUGGCACACUGUCACAUGCUACCAAAUAAUUGCUGGAUUUCUUGGUCACAACAUCUGGCAACUUUGAUAAUAUCUUUGAUGGAAAGCUGUUUGUGUCCUUUCCCCUCCCUACUAUGAUUGGACGCUAGCAGAUUUCGCUCUUUCCUUAGCUAACACUGCUGCAUUUACAUUUGGUUGAUAGAUUGUGUAAGAACAUAACUGAUGAGGUGAAAUUGAACUCUCUGUUUAUUAAAUGCACUAAUCUGCAAUGCACUAAAGUUGACAGUGAAUUAUUGUCAAAAUUAAGCAGUCAAGCAGUGAGCUGCUGAAAGUUAAGUUGUUUGUUUGGACUCUUGGAAGGGAAAAAGUUUGUCGACUUCCAGAUUUAUGUCAGUUGGUAUAUCAAGACAGCUUAUGUUUUGUUGCCAAGAAAAUCUGGUCCAAGCAAAAUUUGGGUUUAGUGAUUGAUUUUAUGGCCCUAUGAGAGCUAUACUUUUUUGAUAUUGUCAGUGGUUUUAAGCUGAAAUUAUGGAUGACAAUGUUGACUUGUCAUCUUAUGUUUGUUUCCUCUUGCCCAUAUCUUCUUCUGCUAAGAUAUACUAUGUUAUAUUGCAUGAAGACGUUAAAAUUGGCAUAUUAGUAUGUAACCACAUUAACUUGGUGCAGAAAAGGACAUUCACAAAGCCUACCUAUGCGAUAUAUUGACAAGACUAUAAAUUGACAGGUUUAUUGCUGUCGGUGAUGAAGCAUUCCUCCUCAGUUAUGGUCAAACAUUCCAGCCCCAUGUAGUUGGUGCAGCAACAAACAUUCAGCGAGCCCUGACUGCUGCAAAUUUAGCAAACACGGUAAAAGUCAUUGUUCCUUGCAGUUCUGAUGUAUACCAAUCUGAGUCUAACCUACCUUCGAAGGGUCACUUUAGGCCUGAUCUCAACAAGACUAUGAUUGAGCUCCUCUCUUUUCUUGACAAGCAUGGUUCACCCUUUGUGGUUGAC